AUUGCUUCGUAUUUAAAAAGCGUGGACUAAACCAUGUUGUUAUUUAAUAUGAAUCAGAUAGCAAGUCUAGGCUGCUGACUGCUCAGAUUAGAUUAUCAUUCGUCUUUGGCAUAAAAGGACAGCUUCUAACGGUCUGCCUUGCGUUAUCCUAAGCAGAAAAGGAAACCUUGUGAUUGACAGCCAGAAUGGAUCAGAGCUUCCCCUCUGGUUUGCACUUGUACCAUUGGGAUCAGUAAGGAAGGACUGGUGUGAGCAUCUUCUGUCCUCAAGCACUCAGUACCAUUACCUCAGCCUAAAGAAAGCUUCACAUUAGCUUUACACUAUGUACGACUUGAGAGUCUUCUAGCUGUUUAUAAUCACUGAAAUUACUAGCACCCAGGGAGCCCAAAAAGCCUAGGAAAGGCAGUGUUGCGCCUUGACUCAUCUUGCAUAUGCCCCUGUCCUGUCCCUGUACCCACAGUGAAGCUGCCGCCCAUGCUGUCGCCACUCUGGCUGAAGCCACCUUACAAGGCGGGGGACAGAUAGUCCUGUCUGGGGAAACCGCAGCAGCCGUUGGAGCACUUACUGGAGUCCAAGAUGCUAAUGGCCUGGUCCAGAUCCCUGUGAGCAUGUACCAGACUGUGGUAACCAGCCUCGCCCAGGGCAACGGGCCAGUGCAGGUGGCCAUGGCCCCAGUGACCACCAGGAUAUCGGACAGCGCAGUCACCAUGGAUGGCCAGGCUGUGGAGGUGGUGACGUUGGAACAGUAACACGGAGCUCUAUCAUGGCAUCCUUUUCUAGUCUACUUCAGAAUUUUUUACAUGUUUGCAGAGGUGCAAUCAAAUGGAAUUAAGUCUCUCGACUU
rnacentral:lncRNA from 1 species